UCAAACAAUGAUGAGUUUGAUCCUGGCUCAGAGUGAAUGCUCAAAGCAUGCCUAAUACAUGCAAGUCUAAAGUUUUUUUUUUUAUUAAAAAAGACUUGGCGCACUGGUGAGUAUUAAUAUGAGAAAUUAACCCACAAAUUUGGAGUAAUUAGAAUAUACAUAAACUUUUAGUUUAUGACUAUAAUUUCAUAUAAAUUAAAUUUUAUUUUGUGAAUAGGACCGUAAAGAUACUCGUUGCAGGAUAAUGAGUUGGGAUAAUCUUAAUAGUUUAAAUUUAAAAAGAUUUGUAUCAUUUGUGGACAAGCUCGUAUAGGAUUUAGAGUGUUGGUAAGGUAAUGGCUUACCAAAUCGAUUAUCCUUAACUGUCUGGGAGGAUGUACAGUCACAUUGGGUCUGAAACAGAACCCAACUAUCGAAGGGGUAGCAGCAGUAGGGAAUCUUGACAAUGUGCUAACGCACGAUCCAGCAAUGCUUUAGAGGUGAAGAAGGUUCAAGAAAUCGUAAAUCCGUUAUAAUAGAUAUGAGAUUGGAAGGUGCUAUCUUUAUCGUUACUAUUAUAGAAGCUCCGACUAACUUCGUGCCAGCAGUCGCGGUAAUACGAGGGGAGCAAGUGUUAUUCAUACUGAUUGGGCGUAAAGGGUACGUAGGUUGUUAAUUAAGUUUGAAGUUAAAAUCUGGAGCUCAACUCCUUUAAAACUUUUUGAUACUAAUUAACUUGAGUAAUAAAGAGGAUAGUCGGACUCUUAGUGUAGAGAUAAAAUUCGAUGAUAUUAAGGAUACGAACUUGCGUAGGCAACUAUCCAUUUAUUACUGACACUGAGGUACAAAAGUAUGGGGAGCAAAUAGGAUUAGAGACCCUAGUAGUCCAUACCGUGACCUAUGAGUAUUGAACUUUAAAUUAUUAUUAUAGUUUUUUGAUUCAAGCUAACGCGUAAAUACUCCGCCUGGGGACUAAGGCCGCAAGGUUAAAACUCAAAGGAAUUGACGGAGAUCAGACCAAGUAGUGGAGCAUGUGGUUUAAUCCGAUAAUCCGCGUAGAACCUUACCAAUUCUAGUUUGUAUUUAAAAAUAUAUAGUAUUAUAUUGAUUAGUUUUGUUACAAUUUAAGUUAUUGUUUCAAAAUAAAUACAGUCAGGUGUUGCAUGGCUGUCGUCAGUCCGUGUCGUGAGAUGUCGGGUUAAAUCCGAUAACGGACGCGACCCUCGAACUAAAUUUUUUUAGUUGAACGAUAAUGUAAGAUUAUAGGAAGGUGAGGACAACGACAAGUCGUUAUGCCUUUAUGAAUUGGGCUACACACGUGCUACAAUGGUACUUACAAAGAGAUGCAAAAACGCAAGUUUUAGCUAUUCUUCAAAAAGAAAUCGUAGUUCGGAUUAUUCUCUGCAAUUCGAGAAUAUGAAGCUGGAAUUACUAGUAAUCGUAUAUCAGCACGGUACGGUGAAUUCGGAACCUGGUCUUGUACACACCGCCCGUCACGCCAUGGAAGCAGGUUUU
rnacentral:rRNA from 1 species